CAGGGAGAGAAAACGCAAUGCACGUGUCCUUUUGCCGAAUGAAUAUGCCUUAGAACAUGGACAUCACAAUGGGUCUUCAUCCUGACGACCACAGAACUCUCAGAUUUCAGUGAUUUUCUACCCACGGAAGCCACCAGUUUGAUGUCUAGAGGCAGGAAAGGAAAUGAAAAUUUCACAGUUUGCCUGAUUGCUACAGAGUCCUCAGAUGUCAGUCGUUGGUCUCCUCACUGCUCUAUGGAGUUUGGUAUUUAGUGCCAGAAGAAAAUUUUAGAUCAUUUGAGAAUUCUCCAUUCUAUAUCUUCUCACCAUAAAGGUGGAGCUCUGUAUCAGGAAAAUUAUUUUUCUCAACAUGAACAUAACUGAGGAGGAAGUCGUAGGAGAAGAAAAUUGAACCGUGGUUUACCAAGGCACUGAGGUUAUCAGAAGAGACUGGAAAAGAAAGAAACGAUAUCUGAUUCUGUUCAAUGAUGUUUUGUUUGUGUCCAGUAAACUGCAAGUAUAUGC